AGCUGAAUUGUGCAGCGGAAGCGCGCCCAGCUCACACCUGGGAGGACGGUGGAUCGAAACCACCUUUGGCUA